GAUGAACGCUGGCGGUAUGCUUAACACAUGCAAGUCGAACGGACUCUUCGGAGUUAGUGGCGGACGGGUGAGUAACGCGUGAGAAUCUGGCUUUGGGUUCGGGACAACCACUGGAAACGGUGGCUAAUACCGGAUGUGCCGAGAGGUAAAAGAGAAAUUGCCUGAAGAUGAGCUCGCGUCUGAUUAGCUAGUUGGUGAGGUAAAGGCUCACCAAGGCAGCGAUCAGUAGCUGGUCUGAGAGGAUGACCAGCCACACUGGGACUGAGACACGGCCCAGACUCCUACGGGAGGCAGGAGGGGGGAAUUUUCCGCAAUGGGCGAAAGCCUGACGGAGCAAUACCGCGUGAGGGAAGAAGGCUCUUGGGUUGUAAACCUCUUUUCUUAGGGAAGAACAAAAUGACGGUACCGAAGGAAUCAGCAUCGGCGAACUCCGU
rnacentral:rRNA from 1 species